UUUGAGGGGAAUGUUGUCUGGCUCGAGGCCGUUACUCGUUGAUCCGUGAUUGCACAUCGACUGUUGACCGCUUCGGCUUCCACGACUUAUAUCAAUCGAGACCCAUGUGCAAAUGUUUCACCGGUUUUGAGCUAGCGACGUCGGACCAGGCUUCAUUCCCCCCAAU
rnacentral:pre_miRNA from 1 species